rnacentral:rRNA from 1 species
UCCGUAGGCGGGCUAAUAAGUCAGGGGUGAAAUCCAACAGCUUAACUGUUGAACUGCCUUUGAUACUGUUAGUCUUGAAUUAUAUGAAAGUAGAUAGAAUGUGUAGUGUAGCGGUGAAAUGCUUAGAGAUUACACAGAAUACCGAUUGCGAAGGCAGUCUACUACGUAUAUAUUGACGCUAAUGGACGAAAGCGUGGGGAGCGAACAGGAUUAGAUACCCUGGUAGUCC